GACGAACGCUGGCGGCGUGCUUAACACAUGCAAGUCGAACGGAAAGGCCCUGCUUUUGUGGGGUGCUCGAGUGGCGAACGGGUGAGUAACACGUGAGUAACCUGCCCUUGACUUUGGGAUAACUUCAGGAAACUGGGGCUAAUACCGGAUAGGAGCUCCUGCUGCAUGGUGGGGGUUGGAAAGUUUCGGCGGUUGGGGAUGGACUCGCGGCUUAUCAGCUUGUUGGUGGGGUAGUGGCUUACCAAGGCUUUGACGGGUAGCCGGCCUGAGAGGGUGACCGGCCACAUUGGGACUGAGAUACGGCCCAGACUCCUACGGGAGGAAGCAGUGGGGAAUAUUGAACAAUGGGCGGAAGCCUGAUGCAGCAACGCCGCGUGCGGGAUGACGGCCUUCGGGUUGUAAACCGCUUUCGCCUGUGACGAAGCGUGAGUGACGGUAAUGGGUAAAGAAGCACCGGCUAACUACGUG
rnacentral:rRNA from 1 species